UCCCAGUUUUUGAAGGAGUAGUAGCCUCUGCCUCUGGAUAGGCUUAUUCGUUUUCCAUACGUCGUUGAUAUAUUAUUCCUGAAGAGCCAAGGUUAACCAAGUCCCUUUUGCAGUCACUUUUUGGCUGCCAUGGAAUAAAGUUUCAUGAUUUCCACUGCCAACUUGAGCGAAACUAUUUGGUCAAAGGAGAUAAUAUCAAUCUGUAAAGUUGGAUGUCAAACAUUGUGUUUCCCAAUCUCAAGAAUGUUAAAAUUGCCAGCUGCAUAACACAUUGUUUGAAAGAGGUGAUAAGCUUUUUGAACUUUCAGAGUUCCUACUAAAGAAGGCAAUGACUUGAAGAAGUCCGUUAUCAUAUCAAAGAUGAGAAUCUGCUGGAAAUGUUCAGAAAGAUGUGUUUCCCAA